CUUCUUUAACAUUACAAACCUCACAACUACAUGGCCCUUUUCAAAAUCAGGAUUGCUAAUACCCGUGUGAUCAGUGCAUAAAAUCUUCUAAUGCCCUAAUAAUUAAUCAUAACGCGACUGGUCAUAAUUACACGAACCAAUUCUAAAAUAGAGCACGGUAAUUGAAUGAUGAUGUCAUGCGGAUAUUCAUAUUGAUAACGUUGAGAUUUUUUUCAUUUAUUGAAGUCUUGGAUAAUGUUGAUACAGUGUUCAUUAAGUGUGUUUUCAAAUUAGUGACUUUGACCGGAUGCUGAUAAACAAGAGUAUUGUCUUAAUUUUUUUUUAUUUCUACGUAUAUAUAUACAGGGCUUUUCCUACAGUUAAUGUUACACGUUGAAUCAUCCCUUUACUGAACGCAGCAUAUAGCAUAUAGUCUUUCAACACUGUAGAUAUUGCUAAUCAAUCGCUAAAAUGCAUUGUUUGACUACAGUUCUAAUAGCGUCGAUCUUGAGUGGCAUGUUUAUCGACAUUACUUAUGGAAGGUACCUGGGUGAUCAAGGGUACAUGAUACAACGUCGUAAUGCUGACAGUAUAAAGCAUCAUUAUGAUGUCCGACGAGAAUGGGACAAUAUGUUUGGAUGUACGGAGAUAGCGUGUGAUCUAGUUAACAUUGAAGAAAGUGGUAGGAAAAAAAGAUCAAUUACACAUCCAACCUCAAACCUAAACAUCGCCACGCUGUUGGUUCCGAAGGAAAAGUAGAAGGAUACUGAUCCCAAGCUGCAGUUGCAGAUGAUCAAAAAUAUAUGUAAGGAGUUAAUAAUAAAACUCUAACACACGAA